rnacentral:rRNA from 1 species
UACGUAGGUGGCAAGCGUUGUCCGGAUUUACUGGGCGUAAAGGGAGCGUAGGUGGAUAUUUAAGUGGGAUGUGAAAUACCUGAGCUUAACUUGGGUGCUGCAUUCCAAACUGGAUAUCUAGAGUGCAGGAGAGGAAAGUGGAAUUCCUAGUGUAGCGGUGAAAUGCGUAGAGAUUAGGAAGAACCCCAGUGGCGAAGGCGACUUUCUGGACUGUAACUGACACUGGAGGCUCGAAAGCGUGGGGGAGCAAACAGG